rnacentral:rRNA from 1 species
GCUUGUCUCAAAGAUUAAGCCAUGCAUGUCUAAGUAUAAACAAAUCUAUACUGUGAAACUGCGAAUGGCUCAUUAUAUCAGUUAUAGUUUAUUUGAUGGUCCUUGCUACUUGGAUAACCGUAGUAAUUCUAGAGCUAAUACAUGCAUCAGACCCCGACUGUUUGGAAGGGGUGUAUUUAUUAGAUGGAAACCAAUGCGGGGUAACCCGGAUUCAGGUGAUUCAUAAUAACUUUCGGAUCGAUCGCAAGAUCGAUGCAUCAUUCAAGUUUCUGCCCUAUCUAUCAGCUUUGGAUGGUAGGGUAUUGGCCUACCAUGGCUUUAACGGGUAACGGAGAAUUAGGGUUCGAUUCCGGAGAGGGAGCCUGAGAAAUGGCUACCACAUCCAAGGAAGGCAGCAGG